rnacentral:ribozyme from 1 species
UGCCCAGCAACUCUUAUCCCUACCUCCUCCAUCCAUCGCGGUACUGGCCGGGGUACGAGUAACCUUAGGGAUGAUCGAGUAACCAACCCCCGGUAGGAACUUUGGUCGUAUGCUGACAGGGAAGG